GCGUCCGUAGCUCAAUGGUAGAGCGCUGCCCUCCCAAGGCAGAGGUUGCGCGUUCGAGUCGCGUCGGUCGCU
rnacentral:tRNA from 1 species